rnacentral:rRNA from 1 species
GAUGAACGCUGGCGGCGUGCCUAAUACAUGCAAGUCGAGCGAACAGACGAGGAGCUUGCUCCUCUGACGUUAGCGGCGGACGGGUGAGUAACACGUGGAUAACCUACCUAUAAGACUGGGAUAACUUCGGGAAACCGGAGCUAAUACCGGAUAAUAUAUUGAACCGCAUGGUUCAAUAGUGAAAGACGGUUUUGCUGUCACUUAUAGAUGGAUCCGCGCCGCAUUAGCUAGUUGGUAAGGUAACGGCUUACCAAGGCAACGAUGCGUAGCCGACCUGAGAGGGGGAUCGGCCACACUGGAACUGAGACACGGUCCAGACGCCUACGGGAGGCAGCAGUAGGGAAUCUUCCGCAAUGGGCGAAAGCCUGACGGAGCAACGCCGCGUGAGUGAUGAAGGGCUUCGGAUCGUAAAACGCUGUUAUUAGGGAAGAACAAAUGUGUAAGUAACUAUGCACGUCUUGACGGUACCUAAUCAGAAAGCCACGGCUAACUACGU